AUGGCGUCGCACGUCCAAGAAGACGAGAUUACCAUGAGCAGCGAGGAGUUGCUCCAAGCUCAGCUCGAGCUCUACCACCACUGCUUCGUCUACAUCAAGUCCAUGGCGCUCGGCGCGGCCACCGAGCUGCGAAUUGCCGACGCCAUACACCUCAGGGGUGGUGCCACCACCUUGUCUGAUCUUGCCGCCGACACAGGGAUCCACCGGACGAAGGUCUCCCACCUCCAGCGGCUCAUGCGCGUGCUCACCACCUCUGGUGUCUUCUCCGUCGAUGUCCAGGCUAGCGGCGCCACCGUGUACAAGCUCACCAGGGUUUCCGGCCUCCUCGUCGGAGUUGGCGGCGAGAGGCCACGCCGCUGCGACCUGUCCCCUAUCGUGAGCGUGUUGGUCAACCCGGUGCCCGUCACUGCUCUCUUCAGCAUACGCGAGUGGUUCACCGACGGAAAGAGCGCCGCCUCGUCGCUCUUUGAGGUGGCGCAUGGCUGUACACGGUGGGAGAUGAUAGCGAAGGACGCCGGCGAUGACCGCGUGUUCAACGCCGGUCUGGACGCGGACAGCCGCUUCAGUAUGGAGAUCAUUCUAAGAGAGUACAGCGGCGUCUUCGGAUCCGUGCGCAGCUCACUGGUGGACGUCGGUGGUGCCCAUGGCACCGUUGCCGCGGCCAUCGCCAAGGCAUUCCCGCACAUAAAGUGCACCGUGCUGGACCUACCUGUCGUCGUCGCCGGGGCUCCUGCGGAUGACAAUUUGACCUUCAUCGCCGGCGACAUGUUUGAGUACAUCCCACCAGCGGACACCGUUCUACUCAAGUGGAUUUUGCACGAUUGGGCAGACGAAGAUUGCGUCAAGAUACUGCGCCAAUGCAAGAAAGCCAUUCCGACAAGGGACGCCGGAGGGAAGGUGAUAGUCAUGGAUAUGGUGGUCGGAACUGCAGGGUCACAGGAAACCGUGUCCAAGGAGACGGAGGUUUUGUUUGAUGUCUUCAUGAUGUACAUCGACGGGACCCAGCGAGAGGAGCAUCAGUGGAGCAAGAUUUUCUAUGAAGCUGGGUUCAGUGACUACAGGAUUACACCGAUGACUGGAAUUCGCUCAAUUAUUGAAGUCUACCCUUGA
rnacentral:rRNA from 1 species